CAUUUAUCGGCUUAAAUUGAAGUCUAAUGUUAAUUGACCAAAUGAAGAAGUUGUCAAAACUUUCUUCCGUGAAUGCUCGAAGGGACAUAUUCUUAAUGUAUGUAUAGGUAGUGCAGAAAGCAGGUGGACUUUCAGAAGACCAAAGAGUCUUAAGGCCAAAAGAAAGAUAUAUGGAGGGAAUAUGACAAAGGAUAUGCUGUUUCCAAGAUAUGGAGUGUGAAAGAUAAGAAAGCUAAGCUGCCCAUUCAAGUAAAGCAGUCACUGGCAUGCAUAUAUGGGGGGAUGGCAUAACCCUGAUUGGAUAUGCUGAUUCGCGUAUGGUUUAUCCUAUGUACUCAGCAUAUAUAUAAGCAUAUAUGCUAAGGUUAAGCUGUGAAAACCAGGAACUAGCUAGCUAGCUAGCUAGUAACUACAACAAUUCUUAAUUCUUAACGAACACAAACAACCUAGAACUCAGUAGCAGCUAGCGCAGCAAUGCACGGAGAGUGAUUUUGUAAGCGAAACAGUGAUAGGGCUACUCUCUAUUGGCAUGCGGCUGCUAGCAUUGUUUACUAGCAUCAUCAGAAUCCCGCACGCCAAAGGAGAGUUGCCCUCUGACUGUUUCAGCUUAAUAUAUAUAAUAUAAUGUAGUACAUACUCCUACAUGGUACGUACAGAUCCUAUAUAUAUAUAUGAUACCCAAGGUAUAGUUUCAUCUUUCCUUCUGCUGGAGUUCUUUUACUUAUUAGCAGCUUGGAUCAGGUGUUUCUAACUCCCUUAAGCACUACUUAACAAAGAAGAAAAGCCCCAGUGAAGCAUGAAGAGAAGAAUAAUGACAUCUAUUCACUUUCUUCCAAAAGGGAGAAAAAGAAAAAGGAAAAGUGAUCCCUGGGAAGCUUUUGUUAGUACAUGUUUUCGAAAAAAAAAAAAAAAAAAGAAGAAAGGUUUUAGACAGCAUUUUAAAUGGCAAUAAACACAAAACUUAGUGUUAUGCCAGCCCAAAUAAUGAGUCUUUGACUGGGUUUGAAGAAAUUUAAGAGUUGGAAUUCAGCAAA